rnacentral:rRNA from 1 species
UACAGAGGGGGCAAGCGUUGUUCGGAAUUACUGGGCGUAAAGGGCGCGUAGGCGGCCUGCUAAGUCGAACGUGAAAUCCCCGGGCUCAACCCGGGAACUGCGUCCGAUACUGGCAGGCUUGAAUCCGGGAGAGGGAUGCGGAAUUCCAGGUGUAGCGGUGAAAUGCGUAGAUAUCUGGAGGAACACCAAUAGCGAAGGCAGCUCGCUGGGACGGUAUUGACGCUAAGGCGCGAAAGCGUAGGGAGCAAACAGG